rnacentral:rRNA from 1 species
CUACGGGAGGCAGCAGUGAGGAAUAUUGCACAAUGGGGGGAACCCUGAUGCAGCAACGCCGCGUGGAGGAUCACGCAUUUCGGUGUGUAAACUCCCUUUAUAUGUCAAGAAAAUGACGGUAGCAUAUGAAUAAGCACCGGCUAACUCCGUGCCAGCAGCCGCGGUAAUACGGAGGGUGCAAGCGUUACUCGGAAUCACUGGGCGUAAAGGACGCGUAGGCGGGUUGGAAAGUCAGGUGUGAAAUCCUACAGCUUAACUGUAGAGCUGAACUUGAAACUUCUAAGCUAGAGUAUGGGAGGGGGAGAUGGAAUUAGUGGUGUAGGGGUAAAAUCCGUAGAUAUCACUAGGAAUACCUAAAGCGAAGGCGAUCUCCUGGAACAUUACUGACGCUAAGGCGUGAAAGCGUGGGGAGCAAACAGGAUUAGAUACCCGCGUAGUC